rnacentral:misc_RNA from 1 species
UAUGAAGAACGUAGCGAAAUGCGAUAAGUAAUGCGAAUUGCAGAAUUCAGUGAAUCAUCGAAUCUUUGAACGCACAUUGCGCCCGCCAGUACUCUGGCGGGCAUGCCUGUCUGAGCGUCAUUUCAACCCUCGCGCCCGGCUUCUGUCGGGGGCGGUGUUGGGGAUCGGCCUCCCGUCUUCCGGGCGGCCGGCCCCUAAAUGGAGUGGCGACCGCGCCGUAGCCUCCUCUGCGUAGUAGUGAAACACUCGCGGGCGGAGAGCGGUGCGGCCCGCCGUAAAACCCCCAACUCUUCUAAGGUUGACCUCAGAUCAGGUAGGAAUACCCGCUGAACUUAAGCAUAUCAAUAAGCGGAGGA